GUUGCAGAGGAACAUGAGAGACAGUGUGAUUUCUACGGUGAGCACACAGUGGAGCCCAGCAUAUAGCAACCCUGCUCACAGAUUAUCACACAGUUCAAUUUAGGAACGACCCCACACAGAGGUCCCACCUGUUGCCUGCUGGCACACACUCACACAAGCAUGUUUCCAUCGCAUCAAAUAGGGACUGUCCUCCCCUGGCUUGCUCUCUGUCAG